GGGGAAUAUUGCACAAUGGGGGAAACCCUGAUGCAGCAACGCCGCGUGAGUGAUGACGGCCUUCGGGUUGUAAAGCUCUGUCUUCAGGGACGAUAAUGACGGUACCUGAGGAGGAAGCCACGGCUAACUACGUGCCAGUAGCCGCGGUAAUACGUAGGUGGCAAGCGUUGUCCGGAUUUACUGGGCGUAAAGGGAGCGUAGGCGGACUUUUAAGUGAGAUGUGAAAUACCCGGGCUCAACCUGGGUGCUGCAUUUCAAACUGGAAGUCUAGAGUGCAGGAGAGGAGGGUGGAAUUCCUAGUGUAGCGGUGAAAUGCGUAGAGAUUAGGAAGAACACCAGUGGCGAAGGCGACUCUCUGGACUGUAACUGACGCUGAGGCUCGAAAGCGUGGGGAGCAAACA
rnacentral:rRNA from 1 species